UACAGAGGGUGCAAGCGUUAAUCGGAAUUACUGGGCGUAAAGAGCAUGUAGGUGGUUAUAUAAGUCAGUUGUUAAAUCCCAUGGCUUAACUAUGGAAAAGCAAUUGAUACUGUAUGGCUAGAGGUUAGGAGAGAGAAGUGGAAUUCUUGGAGUAGCGGUAAAAUGCGUAGAUCUCAAGAGGAACACCGAUGGCGAAGGCAGCUUUUUGGCUUAAACCUGACACUGGAGUGCGAAAGCGUGGGGAGCAAACAGG
rnacentral:rRNA from 1 species